rnacentral:lncRNA from 1 species
UGAAGCCUGUACUCCUUUAGUAACAAAAUACAAUUGUUAAUUUUUAAAAAUGAUAUAGUUUUGUUUUUAACAACAUGGUGGUUCUGUCCUGAAUUUGCAAAUUCUUCUUUUCCUACAGACUCUUGGCAAUGGAGCAGACCUUCUGGAGAAACUUGGAAUGAGCAAUGAGCAGACUUUAGAAUUAAGGCAGUGAGCACACGGAAUAUAUUUGUUCAGAGUGAAUAUAUCCAGAAAACUUAUAAGACGAAAACUGCACAAGUUACUGGGUGUCUGAAGAUGUCAGGAGGCAACAUGGAAUUUUUAAUGUGCUGGAAUGUAAAAGAACCACUUGCUGAGAGUAAGUAAGCCCUGUAAUAUCCACCCCAUGCCAGAGCUAACUUCUGAGAGUAAAGUACUUGUGUUCAUGAGAAGCAUAACAUGGGUGAAAAUUAACUAAAACCAUGGAAUCUUCAUAUGAAAUAGUGUUACCAUGAGCAAAUGAUGAAAGAAUUCUCUAAUGUGUAACCACUAGGACAGUUCUGCCAGCAGUUAUGGAAGAG